rnacentral:rRNA from 1 species
UCCUACGGGAGGCAGCAGUGGGGAAUUGUUCGCAAUGGGCGCAAGCCUGACGACGCAACGCCGCGUGGAGGACGAAGAUUUUCGGAUCGUAAACUCCUGUCGAAUGGGACGAAAAGGUUGCGGGUUAACAGCCUGUAAUCCUGACGGUACCGUUAAAGGAAACCCCGGCUAACUCCGUGCCAGCAGCCGCGGUAAUACGGGGGGGGUAAGCGUUGUUCGGAAUUACUGGGCGUAAAGGGCUCGUAGGCGGCCAACUAAGUCGGACGUGAAAUCCCUCAGCUUAACUGGGGAACUGCGUCCGAUACUGGAUGGCUUGGAUUUGGGAGAGGGAUGCGGAAUUCCAGGUGUAGCGGUGAAAUGCGUAGAUAUCUGGAGGAACACCGGUGGCGAAGGCGGCAUCCUGGACCAAUAUUGACGCUGAGGAGCGAAAGCUAGGGGAGCAAACGGGAUUAGAUACCCCGGUAGUCCUAGCCCUAAACGAUGAAUGCUUGGUGUAGCGGGUAUCGAUCCCUGCUGUGCCGAAGCUAACGCAUUAAGCAUUCCGCCUGGGGAGUACGGUCGCAAGGCUGAAACUCAAAGGAAUUGACGGGGGCCCGCACAAGCGGUGGAGCAUGUGGUUCAAUUCGACGCAACGCGAAGAACCUUACCCAGGCUUGAACUGCGAGUGACCACGCCCGAAAGGGCGCUUCCGCAAGGACACUCGUAGAGGUGCUGCAUGGCUGUCGUCAGCUCGUGUCGUGAGAUGUUGGGUUAAGUCCCGCAACGAGCGCAACCCUCGUUCUAUGUUGCCAGCACGUGAUGGUGGGGACUCAUAGGAGACUGCCGGGGUCAACUCGGAGGAAGGUGGGGAUGACGUCAAAUCAUCAUGCCCCUUAUGUCUUGGGCUUCACGCAUGCUACAAUGGCCAGUACAAAGGGCUGCGAUACCGCGAGGUGGAGCGAAUCCCAAAAAACUGGUCUCAGUUCGGAUUGGGGUCUGCAACUCGACCCCAUGAAGUCGGAGUCGCUAGUAAUCGCAGAUCAGCAACGCUGCGGUGAAUACGUUCCCGGGCCUUGUACACACCGCCAU